ACGCACGCUGGCGGCGUGCUUAACCCAUGCAAGUCGAACGGAAAGGCCCUGCUUUUGUGGGGUGCUCGAGUGGCGAACGGGUGAGUAACACGUGAGUAACCUGCCCUUGACUUUGGGAUAACUUCAGGAAACUGGGGCUAAUACCGGAUAGGAGCUCCUGCUGCAUGGUGGGGGUUGGAAAGUUUCGGCGGUUGGGGAUGGACUCGCGGCUUAUCAGCUUGUUGGUGGGGUAGUGGCUUACCAAGGCUUUGACGGGUAGCCGGCCUGAGAGGGUGACCGGCCACAUUGGGACUGAGAUACGGCCCAGACUCCUACGGGAGGCAGCAGUGGGGAAUAUUACACAAUGGGCGGAAGCCUGAUGCAGCAACGCCGCGUGCGGGAUGACGGCCUUCGGGUUGUAAACCGCUUUCGCCUGUGACGAAGCGUGAGUGACGGUAAUGGGUAAAGAAGCACCGGCUAACUACGUG
rnacentral:rRNA from 1 species